UACGUAGGUGGCAAGCGUUUGUCCGGAUUUACUGGGCGUAAAGAGCGCGCAGGCGGCCAAGUCAGUCGAAUGUGAAAGCCCCCGGCUCAACUGGGGAGGGUCAUUCGAUACUGCUCGGCUCGAAGACAGGAGAGGGAAGUGGAAUUCCCGGUGUAGUGGUGAAAUGCGUAGAUAUCAAGAGGAACACCAGUGGCGAAGGCGAGUCCCUGGACGAUACCUGACACUGAGGCACGAAAGCUAGGGGAGCAAACAGG
rnacentral:rRNA from 1 species